rnacentral:rRNA from 1 species
UACGUAGGGGGCAAGCGUUGUCCGGAUUUAUUGGGCGUAAAGAGCGUGUAGGCGGCUUGGUAGGUCCGCUGUGAAAACUCGAGGCUCAACCUCGAGAUGUCGGCGGAAACCACUUGGCUAGAGUCCGGAAGAGGAGAGUGGAAUUCCCGGUGUAGCGGUGAAAUGCGCAGAUAUCGGGAAGAACACCUAUGGCGAAGGCAGCCUCUCUGGGAC